GCCUCAGCCUCCCAAAAUGCUGCGAUUACAGAUGUGAGCCUCUGUGCCUGGCUGUAUCGACCGUAUCUUGAUGAAGGAACUCGGAAGUGAGUAAAGGUCAAGCUGCAAAUUUCCCUCAAAGCAGUAUAAAAGAAGGAAAGCUCACGAGUCCCCUGACAAAUGCCUCUUGUUUACAAAUGCUUGCUGUUUGAUGGAGUCAUCAAAAAUUGUGAAGACCUGCAUCCCUUUGUAUCUCAAGCAAAGACAGAGACCCUAACCACUGGUGGUGUCUAGUACGAUGACAGGAAGCUGGAGGAGCACGCUGGGGCCAGGUUAUGAAGAGGCUUAUACGCAGGAUGGGGUUUGAACUUCAUUUUACAAGCGGUGGCUCCUAGGCACAACCCCCAUACGGCUGCCGUUUGGGUCCUAGAUCUCUGCAUACCUGCAGUGCACCACAGUGGGCCCAGCACCGGGGCUUCUGUUGAUGUAGUCCCUGACAGUCCUCACAAACUGGAUCAGAGACUGAGUGGUUUCCGGGACUCCAUGGUCUGGCCACACCGUAUAGUGAAAGUGGCGGAUGAGUCUGUGUGCAUCGAGCUGUUCCUCCUGUAAGAGCAGAGAGCAGGAUAGUAAGAGGAACCUUCAAACUUGACAACUGAGCCGUGGAGCAAUUCCUAUGGGCUGAAACUACAAGAGAAGAACCAGCAAAAGUGGGAUUAGCAGAUCUCCUUCAUCUCCCCCAGCUGGGUUGUUAAAUGAAGUCAAGCAAGCUAACAUACAGUGCAUAUCUUAAACUCCCGGAUGGUCCACUCAGGCAGGACGGACUCUGAGAGCAUCUGCAGGAUGAGGUCCCCAUAGUAGAGGGAAUCCUGGUCCGCUGGCCAAUAAUGGUCACACUUUACCUGAAAGACGACAGAUAGAAACAACGUGAGUCCGGAAGAGUGACUCCUUGUGAACAUGGGCUUUCCCUCCUCUAAACACCUUCCUGAGUUAGGAAUCCCGGAUCAGCCGCUAAAGCAAUUUGACCAUCUACUUUAUAUUAACCUGCUCUUGGCCAGCGCUGAAGCUGAGGUGCUGCUCCAAGUGAAGGGGAGACACUGCAUAAGGAGCACCCCCAACGCCAAUCUGUGGAUUCACUCACUUUUUUAGGCCUAGGGAUACAUGACUUGAGGAUUUUUUUCUUUUUUUAAAUUGGUUUUCUUAGCAUUUCAGCUGCACUAGCAGGUAAACUAUGGUUCACAAUUCAUUGUUCUUCCUAAAGAAAUAUCUAGUUGUGUAGAGGAAGGUACUGUCUUCCUGGCCCUGCUUUGUUUGUAUUUAUAUGUCACUGUCCUAACUUGGGCCUUGUGCCAAGAGAUCUUCGAGAAGUCAGAACGUUUAGCUAAGCUUGCCUUUACAUGUGCACAGACAAGGGAAAGAGGAUUGUGAGCACGUAUUUACUGAACGCAGAUACCGGGCACUUUACAUGUAAUCUCUCUUUUAAUCCUCAAAAUAACCAUAUAACGUAGAAGAUGAUACGUGCAUUA